AGGGGCGCCCGCGUCGGCUUCCGGCCGCCUUCCACAGCAGCUGUCCGGACCCCGCUCCGGCCGCCGGCGCCCAGGUGUGGGAGGGGGCGCGGGGCGGAGGACGGCGGGGGAGGGGCUCACCUUUCUGGCCGCUGAGCGCCGCGUACCAGGAGAGCGAGAGGAAGGCGCACAGGCAGAAGAGCAGCAGCGUCAGGAAGGCGCCAUUGCGGAGCCUCAUCUCCUCAGAGGAUCUGGGCACCUCUGGGACCACUGAAAGCAACUUCCCCGUGGGUGACAAGAGGUCGCCUGAACCUCACCUCGUCACCGCAUUUGAGUUGCUGGGAAAGCACUUGGAGGUGGCCAGUCCUUCCAUGCAUCUUCACGGAGCUUAACCUGUGGUCCAAGGAUCCAGAAUUGGUGCCAUCCAAGAGCUGAGAAGAAAAAUCCUUCAUUUUCACUAACCUCUAACUGAAACUUGGAAUUUCCUUCAAUUAUGAAUGGAGACAGCAAAGUCCAUCAGAAUUAGCAGCGUUUGCGACUGUCAAACAGAAAUCACAGGUAUUUUCAUACUA